GCGCCGAUGGUUUAGUGGUAAAAUUCUCCGUUGCCACCGGGGAGCCGGGGGUUCGAUUCCCCCUCGGCGCA
rnacentral:tRNA from 1 species